rnacentral:rRNA from 1 species
CCUGCNGGUCGACGAUUCCUACGGGAGGCAGCAGUGGGGAAUUUUGGACAAUGGGGGAAACCCUGAUCCAGCCAUUCCGCGUGAGUGAAGAAGGCCUUCGGGUUGUAAAGCUCUUUUGUCCGGAGCGAAACGGUGGCGGUGAACAUCCGCCACUACUGACGGUACCGGAAGAAUAAGCACCGGCUAACUACGUGCCAGCAGCCGCGGUAAUACGUAGGGUGCGAGCGUUAAUCGGAAUUACUGGGCGUAAAGCGUGCGCAGGCGGUUUUGUAAGCCAGAUGUGAAAUCCCCGGGCUCAACCUGGGAAUGGCAUUUGGGACUGCAAGGCUCGAGUAUGGCAGAGGGGGCUAGAAUUCCUGGUGUAGCAGUGAAAUGCGUAGAUAUCAGGAGGAAUACCGAUGGCGAAGGCAGGCCCCUGGGUUAAUACUGACGCUCAUGCACGAAAGCGUGGGGAGCAAACAGGAUUAGAUACCCUGGUAGUCCACGCCCUAAACGAUGUCGACUGGUUGUUGGGGGUUUGACACUCUCAGUAACGAAGCUAACGCGUGAAGUCGACCGCCUGGGGAGUACGGCCGCAAGGUUAAAACUCAAAUGAAUUGACGG